ensembl:lncRNA
UGCGUAGAUAUUUACAACUGUUUUGUCUUCUUGUUGGAUUAUUCCCUUUAUCAUUAUGUUGUGCCCUUCUUUGUCUCUUGUUACAGUUUUUGUUUUAAAGUCUAUUUUGUCUGAUAUAGUUACUGACACUCCAGCUUCUUUUCUUUGCCAUUUGCAUAAAAUAUCUUUUUCCAUCUUUUCCCUUUCAGUUUGUGAGUGUCUUUAGGUCUGACGUGUGUUUCUUGUAUGCAGCAUAUAUAUGGGUCUUGUUUUUUUUUUUAUCCAAUCAGCCACCCUAUGCCUUUUGAUUGGAGCAUUUAGUCCUUUGACAUUUAAAGUAGUUAUUGAUAAAUAAGUAUUUAUUGCCGUUUUGUUACUAUUUUUUUCUGAGUGUUUUAAUAGUUCUUCUCUGUUCCUUUCUUCUUCUCUUGCUCUCUUCCCUUGUGGUUUGAUGGCUUUCUUUGGUAAUAUCUUUGAUUUCUUUCCUCUUAUUUGUUUAUUUAUUAUAGGUUUCUGGUUUGUGAUUACAGGAGGUUCAUAUAUAGUGUUCUAUGUAUAUAUCAAUCUAUAUUGAGUUGACAAAUCUCUUUAGUUUGACCUCUGUCUAAUAGCUCUAUUCUUUUACUCUCCUUAUUCCACAUUUUAUAUUUUUCAAAUCAUAUCUAAUCUCUUAUUUUGUGUGUGUCUAUCCAUUACUCUCAUCAUUGAAAUAGGUAAUUUUAGUACUUUUGUCUUUUAACCUUCAUGUUAUCUUCAUAGGUGGUUGACCUGCUACCGUUACUGUAUUUUUGCCUUUACCAGUGGUUUUAUUGACUUUUUUUGGAUUAAUUUUCUUAUCUCUAUUUGUGAUCUUCUCUUUCCCACUUAAAUAAGUCCCUUCAGCAUUUCUUGUAGAAUUGAUUUCUUGGUGAUAAACUCCUUUAAUUUUUGCUUGUCUGGGAAAUUCUUUCUCUCUCCUUCCAUUCUGAAUGAUAACCUUAUUGGAUAGAGUAUUCUUGGCUGUAGGUUUUUUCCUUUCAACACUUUAAAUAAGCUGUGUCACUCUCUUCUAGCCUGUAGGGUUUGGCUGAUAAGUCUACUGACAUCCUUAUGGGUUUUCCUUUGUAUGUUGCUUGUUGCCUUUCUCUAGCAGAUUUUAGGAUUCUCUCUUUAUCUUUAAUUUUGGACAUUUUAAUUAUAAUGUGUCUUGGCGUGGGCCACUUUGGGUUUAUCUUGUUUGGUGCUCUCUGUGCUUCCUGUACCUGGAUGUCUGUUUCCUUCAUUAAGUUAGGAAAGUUUUCAACUAUUUCUUCAAAUAAAUUCUUUGCCCCUUUGUCUCUCUCUUCUAUUUCUGGAAUGCCUAUAAUACGGAUGGUAGUAGACUUGAUGUUGUCCCAGAAGUCCCUUAGACUGUCCUCAUUCUUUUUAAUUCUUUUCUCUUUUAUCUGUUAAGCUUGGGUGAUUUUCUCUGGUGUUUCAUCCAGAAAGACCUGACCCAUUCUCCUGUAUCAUCUACUCUGCUUUUGAGUCCCUCUAGUGAAUUUUUUAUUUCCAGUUUUGUAUUCUUCACUUCUGAUUGGUUCUUUUUAUAUUUUGCAGUUCUUUCUUGAAUUUCUCACUGAGUUAAUCCAUUCUUCUCCCAAGAUCAGUAAGCAUUCUUAUGGCUUUUUGCUUGAGCUCUUUGUCAGGUAGGUUGUUUAUUUCUGUUUAAUUUAGUUCUUUUUCUGGGGUUUUGUCCUCUUCUCUUACUCAGAAUGUGUUCCUUUGUUCCUCAUUAUGCCCCU